rnacentral:rRNA from 1 species
UACGAAGGGGGCGAGCGUUGUUCGGAUUUACUGGGCGUAAAGGGCGCGCAGGCGGUCAUUUUUGUCGAGUGUGAAAUCCCCGAGCUUAACUUGGGAACUGCCAUUGAUACUAUUGAUCUUGAAUACCGUGGAGGUCAGCGGAAUAUGUCAUGUAGCGGUGAAAUGCUUAGAUAUGACAUAGAACACCAAUUGCGAAGGCAGCUGGCUACGCGAAUAUUGACACUGAUGCACGAAAGCGUGGGGAUCAAACAGG